rnacentral:rRNA from 1 species
AACGAACGCUGGCGGCAGGCCUAACACAUGCAAGUCGAGCGAGGACUUCGGUCCUAGCGGCGGACGGGUGAGGAACGCGUGGGAACGUGCCCUUUGCUUCGGAAUAGCCCUGGGAAACUGGGAGUAAUACCGGAUGAGCCCUUUGGGGGAAAGAUUUAUCGGCGAAGGAUCGGCCCGCGUUGGAUUAGGUAGUUGGUGGGGUAAUGGCCUACCAAGCCGACGAUCCAUAGCUGGUUUGAGAGGAUGAUCAGCCACACUGGGACUGAGACACGGCCCAGACUCCUACGGGAGGCAGCAGUGGGGGAUCUUAGACAAUGGGGGAAACCCUGAUCUAGCCAUGCCGCGUGAGCGAUGAAGGCCUUAGGGUUGUAAAGCUCUUUCAGCUGGGAAGAUAAUGACGGUACCAGCAGAAGAAGCCCCGGCUAACUCCGUG